GACGAACGCUGGCGGCGUGCUUAACACAUGCAAGUCGAACGGAAAGGCCCUGCUUUUGUGGGGUGCUCGAGUGGCGAACGGGUGAGUAACACGUGAGUAACCUGCCCUUGACUUUGGGAUAACUUCAGGAAACUGGGGCUAAUACCGGAUAGGAGCUCCUGCUGCAUGGUGGGUGUUGGAAAGUUUCGGCGGUUGGGGAUGGACUCGCGGCUUAUCAGCUUGUUGGUGGGGUAGUGGCUUACCAAGGCUUUGACGGGUAGCCGGCCUGAGAGGGUGACCGGCCACAUUGGGACUGAGAUACGGCCCAGACUCCUACGGGAGGCAGCAGUGGGGAGUAUUGCACAAUGGGCGGAAGCAUGAUGCAGCAACGCCGCGUGCGGGAUGACGGCCUUCGGGUUGUAAACCGCUUUCGCAUGUGACGAGGCGUGAGUGACGGUAAUGGGUAAAGAAGCACCGGCUAACUACGUG
rnacentral:rRNA from 1 species